GAGGGUGCUCCCGUGCCCGCCGCCAUGGUGCUGGAGUCGGUGGUGGCGGACUUGCUCAACCGCUUCCUGGGCGACUACGUGGAGAACCUCAACAAGUCUCAGCUCAAGCUGGGCAUCUGGGGGGGUAACGUGGCACUAGAUAACUUGCAGAUAAAAGAGAAUGCGCUGAGUGAACUGGAUGUGCCUUUUAAAGUUAAGGUUGGGCAAAUAGAUAAACUUACUCUGAAGAUUCCUUGGAAAAAUCUGUAUGGUGAGGCAGUGGUUGCAACACUAGAAGGCUUAUAUCUGCUCAUUGUUCCUGGAGCAAGUAUUAAAUACGAUGUGGAGAAGGAAGAAAAAUACUUGCAGGAUAAUAAGCAAAAAGAGCUAUCAAGAAUUGAAGAAGCUCUGCAAAAAUCAGCAGAGAAAGGCACGCAUUCAGGAGACACCAUAUAUGGCUUGGAGAGUUUUGUUUGCAAGGAUAACAAGCCUGGACGUAAGCGUAAAAAGCAUAAAAAGCAUUUUAAGAAACCCUUUAAAAGUCAUGAUCACUCAAAAGAUAAGCCAAAGGCAGAGAAAAAAGAUACAUUCUUGGAAAAGCUGGCAACUCAAGUUAUAAAAAAUGUACAAGUCAAAAUCACAGGCAUUCAUGUUAAAUACGAAGAUGAUAUCACAGAUCCUCUUCGGCCACUUUCUUUGGGAGUGACAUUGGGUGAACUUAGUUUACUGACAGCCAAUGAAAACUGGACACCUUCCAUUUUAAAUGAAGCUGCAAAAAUCAUAUACAAGCUCCUGAGUCUUGAUUGCCUCAGUGUCUACUGGAAUGUGGAUAGCAAGAUGUAUUAUCAUGGCUCCCGUGAACAAAUACUGGAUCAGCUGAAAAGAGGAGUUCCUUCUAGCAGUAAUCAGCCUAAAAACUACCAGUAUAUUUUUAGGCCAGUAUCAGCCUCUGCAAAACUCUACAUCAACCCGCAUGCGGAAACUGAAUUAAAAACUCCAAAGCUUGAUUGGAAUAUAGAAGUACAGAAUAUUGCCAUUGAACUCACUAAGCCACAGUACCUCAGUAUGAUUGACCUUCUGGAGUCCAUAGAUUACAUGGUUCGAAAUGUACCAUACAGAAAAUACAGACCAGAUGUACCUCUACAUAAAAAUGCCAAACAGUGGUGGAAAUAUGCAGCUAACAGCAUUCUUGAAGUUCAUAUCAGAAGAUGCACUCGCAUGUGGUCAUGGAGUAACAUGAAACAUCAUAGGCAGCUUUUGAAGAGCUACAAAAGUAUGUACAAGAACAAACUAACACAGAGCAAACUAUCAGAAGAAACACGACGACAAAUUCAGGAUCUAGAAAGAGCACUGGACAUUUUCAACAUCAUUUUAGCAAGACAGCAAGCACAAGUUGAGGUAAUAAGAUCAGGGCAGAAAUUGCUGAGGAAGAAAUCUGCUGAUGGAGAGAAGAAAGGUGGAGGAUGGUUUAGUGGGUUCUGGGGUAAGAAGGAAUCUAGAAAAAAGGAAGAUGAAGAAUCACCAGUUCCUGAAACCAUUGAUGACCUCAUGACCCCAGAAGAAAAGGCUAAGCUCUUUACUGCUAUUGGGUAUAGUGACAGCUCUCACAACUUGACUUUACCUAAGAAGUAUGUUGCUCAUGUAAUGACACUGAAGCUGUUAAGUACUUCUCUUACAAUUAAAGAAGACAAGGAUGUGCCAGAGACUCUUAAAGUACAGAUAAUUGAUCUAAGCACGAAAAUAUCUCAGAGACCAGGAGCACAAGCACUUAAAGUGGAGGCAAAGCUUGAGCACUGGUAUGUAACAGGACUGAAACAACAAAGUAUCGUGCCUUCUCUUGUGGCUUCUAUUGGGGAUACCAAAUCAUCUUUGCUUAAAAUAGUGUUUGAGACAAAUCCAGAAGAUAGUACUGCUGACCAGAGCCUUAUAGUUGAAUCACAGCCUGUGGAAAUCAUAUAUGAUGCUAGAACAAUAAAUGCAAUGGUGGAAUUCUUCCAGACAAGUAAGGGAAUGGAUCUGGAACGACUAACAUCAGCCACGUUGAUGAAGUUGGAAGAAAUUAAAGAAAGAACUGCUACAGGACUAGCUCAUAUUAUUGAAACACGGAAAGUGCUUGACUUGAGGAUUAAUCUGAAACCAUCCUAUCUUGUGGUUCCACAGACCGGUUUCCACAAUGAAAAGUCAGACCUACUUAUUUUGGACUUCGGUACGUUUCAGUUGACCAGCAUAAAUCAAGGGGGUCAUCAAUCUUCUAGUUUUUCAUCCUUGGAAGAGAUUAUGGACAAAGCUUAUGACACGUUUGAUGUGGAAAUCAAGAAUGUACAACUUCUUUUUGGCAGAAGAGGUGAAGACUGGAAGAAGGCUCGAUUUCAGCAUCCAUCUGCUUUGCACAUAUUACAGCCUAUGGAUAUGCAUGUGCAAUUAGCCAAAUCAAUGGUGGAGAAAGACCUCAGAAUGGCUAAGUUUAAAGUUUCAGGAGGCCUUCCCCUGGUACAUGUGAGGCUUUCUGACCAAAAGAUUAAGGGGAUUUUUGAUCUGAUUGAUAGCAUUCCGUUUCCUCAGAUGUCAGCCAUGUCAGUUCAAAGCACAAAGGUACCUGCUAUCCCCACGGUUACUGAUGUGAGGAAAGGGUUACUUGACACGUCAAUAUUGCUGGAAGGAGUAGAGUCAGAGUCUGAUGAAUAUUUUGAUGCUGAAAAUUCUUUUUCACUAACUGAAAAGGCUCUACCUGAGGGACAUGAUCUAAAAAACAAAACAGAGGCUAUUAAUGAGGAGUUCAUAGACCUUCAGUUGAAGUUUGAAAUUAAAGAGGUGGUUUUAGAACUCACAAAGCAACAAAAAAUAGAGGAAACAAUACUUGUAUUUAAUGUAAUGCAGCUCGGAACAGAAGCUACAGUCAGAACAUACGACUUAACAGCUGUAUCUUACUUAAAGAAAAUCAGCUUGGAUUACCACAAAAUUCAAGAUAAACGACCACUUCACUUAAUUAGCUCUUCAGAUGGACCUGGAUUAGACCUUUUGAAAGUGGAAUAUAUCAAGGCUGACAAAAAUGGUCCAAAAUUUCAGUCAAGCUUUGACAACACUGAACAAACAUUUCAGGUGGCCUUUUCGUCAUUAAAUUUUCUGCUACAUACACAGGCCCUUCUCUCUACUAUCAAUUUUCUAACAAGUGUUAUUCCAUCAAGCAGUCCAAGUGCUGGUGACAUAGGACACUUGCAAACACAAGGAGAAAAGCAGCAAAAAGAUACGAGUGUGAAGAAAGUAGUGACCAAAGCUGCCAAGGAUAAGGAAGUUAUUGACUUCAAGCUGUUUGCCAAGUUGGAUUCCUUCUGUUUAAAUGUGUGUGAUGAAAAGAACAACAUUGCUGAAAUCAAAAUACAAGGUGUCGAUUCAUCGCUCAUUCUUCAGCCAAGUCACACUGUGCUCUUUGCCCGUCUUAAAGACAUAGUUGUCACAGAUGUUGAUUCAAGGACUAUUCAUAAAAAGGCUGUCUCUAUAGUAGGAGAUGAAGUCUUCAGUUUCAACCUGGCACUGUAUCCAGUUGCUACUGAGGGAGAAGCUUACACUGAUAUGUCCAAAGUGGAUGGUAUUGUCUCUCUGAAAGUGGGCUGCAUUCAGAUAGUUUAUCUUCAUAAAUUCCUCAUGUCACUUCUGAACUUUCUGAACAACUUUCAAACAGCAAAGGAGGCACUGAGUGCUGCUACAGUUCAAGCUGCAGAAAAGGCUGCUACUAGCGUGAAAGAUCUGGCUGAGAGGAGUCUUCGCCUUUCAAUGGAUAUUCAUCUGAAAGCGCCAGUUAUAAUCAUACCUCAGUCUUCAGUGUCCCAUAAUGCUGUCUUAAUAGAUCUUGGUUUGAUCAGGGUACAAAACAAGUUUAGCCUGGUACCUGCUGAAGGCUGCUCACUUCCUCCAGUCAUUGAUAAAAUGGAUGUGCAGCUCACGAAGCUUAAGCUGUCUAGGACAAUUAUACAGCCUGGUUUUUCACAGCCUGACAUUCAGAUACUUCAUCCUAUUAAUCUGAAUCUGUCUGUGAAUCGAAAUCUAGCUGCAACUUGGUAUCACAAAAUUCCUAUGUUAGAAAUCAAAGGGCAUCUUGACACAAUGAAUGUUAUUUUAAGUCAAGAGGAUUUGAAUGUUCUGCUUAAAGUACUGACAGAAAACCUUGGUGAAGCAGAUGAAAUGUUAAGUAAAGCAAAGCCAAUAGUGCAAAAGGAAGGAAAAAUUAAAGGAACUGAGAUACCUCUGUCAACACAGAAUGAGAGUACUUCAGGAGAAAGCUUACCUGGUACAACAAAAGUAGCAUUACGUGAAGAUGUAACCAACAUGCUCCUUAAUUUUGAAAUCAAAGAGGUUGUGGUAACCUUGAUGAGACAGGUGCAAAAGGAGGGGCAUCCCUUACAUAUUCUAACUGUGCUGCAGCUUGGAACUGAAACCAGAAUCGGAAACCACGAUAUGACUGCAACAGCAUAUCUGAAUAAAAUUACUUUGAAGUGCCUUGAAUUUACUGACUCAAAAGGAGAUCCUCUUCAUAUUAUUAAUUCUUCAGAUGAGACUGGUGAACACCUUCUGAAAAUGGAAUACAUAAAGGCUGAUGCAGAUGGACCAGACUUUACCACUACUUACAAAAAUACCAAACAAGCUGUCAACGUGUCCUUUUCAUCUUUGGAUCUAAUACUCCACACAGAAGCCUUACUUUCCAUCAUGAACUUUGUCACAUACAGUGUUCCAUCAGGUGGCCUUACCAGCUCUGAUAAAGGAUUUGACCCAAAACCUCAACGAGAGGAACAAAAAAGCGCUGUUAUCAAAGCAGUAUCUAGUGGUGCAGCCCAUGAAGAUGUAUAUGACUUGAAACUUACUGUGAAGUUGAAUGCAUUCAACAUUUUUGUCUGUGAUCAGAAAUGUAACAUUGCAGACAUUAAAAUACAAGGAAUGGAUGCUUCUGUUUCUAUGAAAACUAAAAAGAUAAAGGUUUUUUCCAGACUUGAAGACAUCAUAAUCACAAAUGUUGAUCCAAAGACCAUUCAUAAAAAGGCUGUCUCCAUAGUGGGAGAGGAAGUGUUUCGAUUCAAAAUGGUCCUUUAUCCAAACGCAACUGAAGGAGAAGACUACACCGAUAUGUCCAAAGUGGAUGGUAAAAUGUGUCUAAAAGUGGGCUGCAUUCAGAUAGUUUAUCUCCAUAAAUUCUUCAUGUCACUUCUGAACUUCCUGAACAAUUUCCAAGCAGCAAAGGAAGCCCUGAGUGCAGCUACAGUCCAGGCUGCAGAAAUGGCUGCUUCCAGCAUGAAAGAUUUUGCUAAGAAGAGCUUCCGCCUUUCAAUGGAUAUCAACUUAAAAGCUCCAGUUUUAGUCAUCCCUGAGUCUUCGGUCUCCCAUAAUGCUCUGGUAGCAGAUCUUGGUUUGAUCAGAGUUCAGAAUGAAUUUAAAUUGGACUUCACAGAUAAAUCUUCUGUCCCUCCAGUCAUUGACAGCAUGGAUGUGCAGCUCACUCAUUUGAAGCUAUCAAGGAGUAUUAUACCCACUGCUUCUCAACCAGAUGUUGAAAUUUUACAGCCAGUAAAUCUGGUUUUGUCAGUUCAGAGAAAUUUAGCUGCAGCGUGGUAUCACGAUAUUCCAGCAAUUGGGAUCAAAGGAGACCUAAAACCUAUGCAGAUUGCUGUCAGUGAAGAUGACCUAACUGUCCUCAUGAAAAUUUUGCUGGAUAACCUUGGAGAUGCUUCUUCCCAGUCUAGUGCUACACAACAGACCCUUCAAGAAGCUCAAAAAACAAAAAAGGAAAAAGAUCAAAGUGAUUCUCAUCUCUGUGAAGAUCCUGGUCUCACUUCAGGACAAACAGAUAUUUCUGCAUUACAGCCUCCCUUGGAAUAUUAUUCAACUCUUAAAUUUGACUUCAAUUUUGAGUCACUUUCAAUAGUUCUUUACAUCAAUGACCGUAAUGAGCAGUCCCUGCUUUCACUGCAUAGUGACAAUUUACGCCUUGGUGAACUCAGACUACAUCUCAUGGCAUCAUCAGGGAAGAUGUUUUCAGAUGGUUCAAUGGAUGUUAAUAUUAAACUCAAGACGUGUACCCUGGAUGAUCUCAGAGAAGGGAUUCAGAAAGUAACAGCGAGAAUGAUUGACAAGAAAUACAACAAGACAGAUAAUUAUAUGAUUGAUAUAAACUACAAGCAAGAUACAAAUGGCAUUGAAGUAGUUGCUAUCCUUGAUAAACUAUAUGUGUGCGCCAGUGUGGAGUUCCUGCUAACAGUGGCAGACUUCUUCAUUAAAUCCAUGCCAACAGCUUCAACUGAAAGGUCUACUCAGGUUCAGUUAAAGCAUGCCCCUGGAAAGCCCAAACAUGACAAAGAGGGUUCCUUACGGCCAAACAUGACAGUAAAAGCAGUGGUCCUGGACCCAGAAAUUGUAUUUGUUGCCAAUUUGACCAAGGCUGAUGCUCCUGCCUUAAAAGCUUCAUUCCAGUGUGAUUUCUCUUUAUCAUCUGAUAAGCUUGCACAAAGGAUGACAGCUCAAGUGAAGGAUGUAAAAGUGCUGGCCUGUGCUUUCCUCAGAGAAAAGCAGGACAAGAAUAUCACCACUGUGUUACAGCCUUGUUCUUUGGUGGUGGAAAAUAUGACACAUGUUUCAGGAUUGCAAAGUAUGGCAGUGACAAUAGAACAACUUAUUAUAAAGAUUUCACCAAUCAUUUUGAAUACUGUGAUGACUAUAAUGGCUGCCAUAAAACCAAAGGCCAAAGAAGAGGAUUCCAAAGGGACAACAAGUGAUUCUGGCAACUUGUGGGAUGUGAAAUCCAUUAACCAAUGCAAUGCUUGGUUCCUUGGUGUUGAUGUAGCCACGGAAGCAACUGAAACUUUCACGGACAGUGAGCACGCUCUGAAAAAUGAGAAUUUUGACGUUGGUGUGAAAUCAGUUCAGAUCACCUUGGAAUGUGGUCUGGGACAUCGCACUGUUCCUUUAUUAUUAAUAGAAUCAGCAUUUUCAGGAACACUUAAAAACUGGUCUUCCCUGUUGGGUGCCACUGCUGACUUGACACUGGAGGUUCAUUAUUACAAUGAAACUUAUGCAGUGUGGGAGCCUCUUAUUGAACGAAUUGAUGGAGGAAGGAAACCAUGGAAUUUAAAACUUGAAAUAAAGACUAACCCUAUACAAGAUAAAAGUUUGAUACCUGGGGAUGAUUUUGUUGUUCUUCCUGAAGCACAAACUGUGGUUAACAUCUCUUCAAAGGAUACAAUGAAUAUAACAAUAUCCAAAUGUUGUCUUGCUGUUUUCAAUAAUUUAGCCAAGGCAUUUUCUGAAGGGACUGCCUCCACUUUUGAUUAUUCUUUAAAAGAUAGGGCUCCUUUUACAGUGAAAAAUGCACUGGGUGUCCCUCUCAAAGUGCAUCCUACCAUCAAUCUUCGAGUGGUUGGUUCAACCUUAAAAGAAGAUAUUCAUGAUGUAGAAAUUGGUCAGAAUUUGGAACUGGAAUAUUCAGUUUUGGAACCUCUGCAUCGAGGAAAGCUGUCGGCAUUAUACCGUCAAGAGAGCUGCCUGUUCACUUUGAGCUUAGCGCCUCUAGGCUAUACAGAAGUGGCAAACAUCCCCAUUGCAAAACCAGGCCGACGAUUGCACAGUGUACGGACUCCUCUUGUCGACCACUCGGACUCUGUUCUGGUACAGAUAGAUGCAGCUGAAGGGAAUAAAGUUAUUACCAUACGGUCUCCUCUGCAGAUCAAGAAUCAUUUCUCUGUCCCAUUUACAAUCUACAAAUUUGUUAGAGAUGUUAGACUGCUGGAGCCAAUAGGAGUAUCUAAGCCUGAAGAGGAAUUCCAUGUUCCUUUAGAUUCAUACAGGUGUCAUCUAUUUAUUCAACCAACAGGGAUCUUAGAAGGUCAAUUUAAAGAAUCCACAACUUACAUUGCCUGGAGAGAAGAGCUUCACAGAAGUAGUGAAGUGAGAUGUAUGUUACAGUGCCCUUCUACCGAAGUAAGCUUCUUGCCUCUAAUAGUCAUGACAACUGCUGUUCCUGAUCAACUAAACUUUAUUGCAACUCACGGGGAGGACUGGGAUCCAGCCUACAUUAUCCAUCUUUACCCAACGCUCACUUUGAGGAAUCUUCUGCCAUACUCUUUGAGAUAUUUACUUGAGGGAACCGCAGAAGCUCAUGAGUUGCUAGAAGGGAGUGCUGCUGAUGUUCUUCACUCAAGAAUCAAUAGGGAAAUAAUGGAGUUAGUUCUGAUAAAAUAUCAGGGUAAAAACUGGAAUGGACAUUUUAGAGUCCAUGAUGGGCUGCCAGAAUUUUUUCCUGUGUGUUUUACCUCCAAUUCCACAGAUAUGAUGACAAUAGAUAUCUAUGUACAUGUUAGGCAAGUUGGUAGCCGUAUGAUCCUGUCUGUGUUCAGUCCUUAUUGGAUAAUCAAUAAGACUUCCCGGGUUCUCCAGUAUCGUGCUGAAGAUAUACAUGUGAAACACCCAGCAGAUUACAGGGAUACUAUCCUGUUUUCCUUUAAGAAAAGGAACAUUUUUAGUAAAAACAAGAUCCAAUUGUGUAUUUCAACUAGUUCAUGGUCCACUAGCUUCUCCCUUGAUACUGUAGGAAGUUAUGGAUGUGUAAAGUGCCCAGGCAAUGACAGGGACUAUCUGGUUGGAGUUAGCAUCAAAAUGAGUAGUUUUAAUCUCACCAGGAUAGUUACCUUAACUCCGUUCUACACCAUAGCAAACAAUUCUUCUCUGGAGCUGGAAGUUGGAGAAAUCAAGUCUAAUGGCUCUUUGCCAACUCGUAAUUGGAAUUAUUUCUCAUCUUCAGAGUGUCUUCCAUUUUGGCCUGAAAAUUUGUCUGGUAAAUUAUGUGUCAGAGUGGUGGGCUGUGAAAGUGCAUCCAAACCGUUCUUCUGUAAUACACAGGACAAUGGUACUUUGUUAAGUCUGGAAGAGUUGAAUGGAGGCAUACUGGUAAAUGUGAACAUUUCUGAAAAUUCUACAGUCAUAAACUUCUCAGAUUACCAUGAGGGAGCUGCUCCAGCUCUCAUCAUUAACCAGACUCCAUGGGACACCCUUAAAUAUAAACAGAGUGGGUUACAGGAUGAGAUGGAGUUAAAACCAAAGGAGGUGCGACUGUUUGCCUGGGCAGAUCCCACUGGAAUAAGAAAACUAACUUGGACGUAUGCGCAAAAUGUUGGUGAACAUGAUCUGCUUAAGGAUGAAUGUGGUCAAUUUCCUUAUAAUUCAAAUACUCAGAUACACUGGGUGUCCUUUUUGGAUGGACGUCAGAGAGUACUGCUUUUUACAGACGACGUUGCAUUAGUUUCUAAAGCACGGCAAGCAGAGGAGAUGGAGCAACCUGAUCAAGAAAUAAACUUGUCACUUCAUAGUCUUGGACUUUCUCUGGUCAACAAUGAGAGUAAACAAGAAAUCGCAUACAUAGGGAUUACUAGUUCUGGUGUUGUCUGGGAAUUGAAACCAAAGCAGAGAUGGAAGCCAUUUAAUCAAAAGCAGAUAAACCUGUUGGAAAAAGCCUAUCAGAAAUACCUUUCCACAAACACCAUGGAGGAUCUGGGCUGGGUUAAAAUAGACAACAACUUUGAGGUGAAUUUUGGUAAGAUGCCAAUGAAAAUGCGCCUCCCAAUCAAAUGCAGUAUUCGACGAAACUUCCUAUCGGGCAUUCAUAUUGAGUUCAAACAGUCUCCUCACCAAAGAAGCUUACGGGCACAGUUGAAUUGGCUUCAGGUUGAUAACCAGUUACCUGGUCCAAUGUUCCCAGUUGUGUUUCACCCUGUAGCCCCUCCCAAGUCAAUAGCUUUGGAUUCAGAGCCAAAACCAUUCAUAGAUAUCAGCAUCAUCACUAGGUUCAAUGAGUACAGUAAAGUACUGCAGUUCAAAUAUUUUAUGGUUCUUAUCCAGGAGAUGGCAUUGAAAUUGGAUCAGGGGUUUCUAGGAGCACUUAUUGGGCUUUUCACGCCAUCUACAGAUCCAGAAGCUGAACGGCAAAGGACAAAGUUAAUUCAGCAAGAUGUAGAUGCUCUUAAUACUGAAUUGAUGGAAUCUUCCUUAACUGAUAUGUCAACCCUCAGUUUCUUUGAGCACUUCCAUAUUUCUCCAAUUAAGUUGCAUUUGAGUCUGUCUUUGGGUUCAGGUGGAGAAGAAUCAGAUAAGGACAAAAAAGAAAUGAUCGCUAUUCAUUCAGUCAACUUGCUAUUGAAAAGUAUUGGGGCUACUCUGACUGAUGUGGAUGAUCUUAUAUUUAAACUUGCUUUCUUUGAAAUUAAGUAUCAGUUUUACAGGCAAGAUGAGCUGAUAAGGAGAGUUGUUACACAUUAUAGUGAACAAUUCUUGAAGCAGAUGUAUGUUCUUGUACUGGGUUUAGAUGUCCUGGGAAAUCCAUUUGGCUUAAUCAGAGGUUUGUCUGAGGGUGUGGAAGCUUUCUUCUAUGAGCCUUUUCAGGGAGCUGUUCAAGGACCUGAAGAAUUUGCUGAGGGCUUUGUGAUUGGUGUAAAGAGUCUUCUUGGUCACACAGUAGGGGGCGCUGCCGGGGUGGUAUCUCGGAUCACUGGUUCCGUUGGAAAAGGCUUGGCUGCUAUAACUAUGGACAAAGAAUACCAGCAAAAACGGAGAGAGGAGAUGGGCCGUCAGCCGAAGGACUUUGGUGACAGUUUGGCCAAAGGAGGAAAAGGCUUUUUACGGGGUAUUGUUGGUGGUGUGACUGGAAUAAUCACUAAACCUGUAGAAGGGGCUAAAAAGGAAGGUGCAGCUGGAUUCUUCAAAGGAGUUGGAAAAGGGCUUGUAGGUGUUGUGGCCCGCCCGACAGGUGGCAUCGUAGAUAUGGCAAGCAGUACCUUCCAGGGAAUUCAGAGGGUGGCAGAAUCAACUGAAGAGGUAUCUAGUCUCCGUCCUCCACGUCACAUUCACGAAGAUGGCAUUAUCCGGCCAUAUGACAGGCGUGAAGCUGAGGGUUAUGAUUUAUUUCAGAACUCUCAUAUCAGAAAGCUGGAAGGAGAAAGUUACCGAUACCACUGUGUGCUUCCAGGAGGCAAGAAGACAAACCUUGUUGUUACCAAUAGGAGGCUGAUGUGUGUAAAAGACGUGGAUAUCCUAGGCCAUGUAACAGACUGGGAUUAUUUAUUUGAAGAUUUUACACAUCCUCCUUCUGUUGAAACAAAUAUACUAAAAAUCACUGUGAAGGAUCAGGGGCUAUUAAUGUUCCAAAAAAAGGACCAUGCAGCUCAUGAAUGUCUGAAGAAAAUUCAACUGAAGGAUGAAACUACUGCAAGGAGAAUUUGUCGUGCUGUUGACGAAGCCCAAGCAGCAAGACAGCAGCAAAAAUUGGUGAAGAAAGCUUCACUGAAAUUAAUCAAACCACAACCACCACCCCAAUGAUAACAGGGCUUGCCUUUGGUUUAACCAGUGGUCAGCAGAGAUUUAUAUUCCAGAAAAACUAUUGUCUAUUUGUGCUAAAAUGACAUAUAUCAGGGGAGUCCAACACCCCCUUCCAAAGCCUCCAAACAAUAGAUGGGUUUCAGUGGGUUGAGGAGGAAGAGGAUAUGAGGAAGGAGAAGAUGGGAUGAUGGGCAUAGAGGAGCAAAGGACAUCUCAAAAAGUCCCAUUCUCCUGCACCUGAGGGUACUGGCAAGCUCAAACUUUAUGAUCUCCAGUGGGUGGGGAGGCAUCACCUCUUUCAACUGAAUCAUCUCCUAAGAAGAGCACAAUCGGAGAUUGGGGCAAACACAAAGAAGGCCAUAUGGGUGCCCAUGUGCGGACUGUUCACAGACAAGCAUGUCUGCAUGGAGAGCUGCAUCCCUUUGGGAGGGCUCUGGUAGAAGGAUGGGCUCCAGAAAGAGCAUGGAAGUGUGGAGUGACAUCCUGAGGUGGUUCCCUGCAGCAAGGCAGAUCAUUGGACAUCGAUCUCCAUUGCUUUACAGUUGCUGCUCUUAGGUUUUUAUCAUCCCCUGAGACGUUUGGAUAUUUUAAGGCUUUUCCUCUUAUUCCUACACUGUGUCCCUGGACUGGUGGCAGCCCUGUUCCCGGGUCAAAGCUCCUAGCGGCAUCAGGAGUUGGAUGCCAUCCUGCCUUGGCAUGAUACGAAGCAGAUGUGUGAACCUCUGUCCUGAUGAGAGGGUGGAAGAAGAUGAGUAUAUGCCAGAUUUGUUUCUGCAUCACAAGUCUAUAUGAGGCCAAAUAGUUUGACAUGGUCAAUUUUCUUUUUUUUUUCUUAACCCAGGUGUCCAACUGCCUCUUAGUAUAAUCCAUCAAUUACUAUAAGAGUAUUACUCCUUCCUCUCUUAUCCUAAGUAGUGUGACAGGGUCAGACCAGAUGGCUACAGAAGAGUGAUAGAAGGCAGAUAUAUUAGUCCCAGAUUAAGUAGAUCCUUUUCCCUGGGUAAGGUGACAGGGGCAGUUCCAGAACAAGCUGGAACUGGUUAAGUCACACCUGGUAGAUUCGGGGAGUGCUAUCACGCUUAUAUCAGGGAAGCUCAUGAAGCGUAGUCAGCCGCUGCAGGCUAAACGUAUGGAGAUAACAUGCAUCCAUGGGACAGUUAGUUACUACCCCACCAUCCCAGUAAAAAUUGAAAUCCAAGGGAACACUACUGAGGUAACAGCAGGUGUAGUCCCUAAACUCCCAUACCCGGUGCUCAUAGGGAGGGACUUUCCAGGGCUUAGAGACUUAUUCCCAGUUGGAGGAUUGGAGAAAGAGGGGAACCCUGAAAUUAGUGAGGCAUCUACAGUAGAUUGUCAACCCCCAAUCGUCUCAGAAAUAUCCCCAGAUUUGUUCUCCACUCCUAGAUAGGGGAGAAAGACGAAAAGUGAAAGAAGGGCAGCUAGCUAAGGCCUUGGGAACCCGAAUACUGGCCCAAAGCCAGAGGGUCUCACUCUUAGGGAGGUGGACCCAAGCAGCCUGGAGCCAAUUAAGAAGAAGCUGCGAGAAUCAAUUAGGACAGGCUGACUAAUCAGGGCACCUGGUUUAAAAAGGACUUCACUUCAUUUAGGGAGAGACGUGUAAGGAGCUGGGAGUGAGAGGAUGUGCUGCUGGAUGACUGAGGAGUACAAGCGUUAUCAGACACCAGGAGGAAGGUCCUGUGGUGAGGCUAAAGAAGGUGUUGGGAGGAGGCCAUGGGGAAGUAGCCCAGGGAGUUGUAGCUGUCGCACAGCUGUUCCAGGUGGCAUUCUAGACAGCUGCAAUCCACAGGGCCCUGGGCUGGAACCCGGAGUAGAGGGUGGGCCUGGGCUCCCCCGCAAACCUCUCAACUCCUGAUCAGACACAGGGGGAGUUGACCUCGACUGUGAGUUCCACCAGAGGGGAGGUCUCUGGGUUGUUCUCCGACCUACAUGGUGGAUCAGCAGAGACUGUGGGGGUGGUUGUUCUCUUUUUCCCCAUGCUGGCCAGUGAUGAGGUUAACUGAGUGAAUGGCAGAUUUGACCAAACUGAGGGCUGCCAUUAAUCUCUGAGGCGAGCAAAUCCGCCAAUAAGCACAGGACCCACCAAGAUAGAGGAGGAACUUUGUCACAGUAGAAAUAAACCAAAUUUCUUUCUGAGGAAUCGGAGCUCAAUCUUUGCACUCCAGGAGAAUUCUGGAUUGUAUUAUACUGUGAUUACUGUUUAUUGGUCUCAAUCUCUUAGCCACAUAGUUACAUCUAUUAUAAUAUUUUUCUGAUUUUGCUGUAAUGUCUCUCCUACAUCGUCUGUUUUUAUUUAUCUAACUUCUUUACUAAGUUAAUUUUUGUUUCUUGUUUUUUAGUUUCAAGUUAGUUACCCAAAGAGGGAUAGAAUCAUAGAAUAUCAGGGUUGGAAGGGACCUCAGGAGGUCAUCUAGUCCAACCCCCUGCUCAAAGCAGGACCAAUCCCCAACUAAAUGAUCCCAGCCAGGGCUUUGUCAAGCCUGACCUUAAAAACCUCAAAGGAAGGAGAUUCCACCACCUCCCUAAGUAACGCAUUCCAGUGUUUCACCACCCUCCUAGUGAAAAAGUUUUUCCUAAUAUCCAACCUAAACCUCCCCCACAGCAACUUGAGACCAUUACUCCUUGUUCUGUCAUGACAGAUGAAUUCCCCGCUCUCUAUAGAUGGCCAGGUUGUGGAAUUUGACAAUGGUAAUGCCUUAACUUGGUUGGUAUCAGUCUCUCACUGUGGUUGAGAAGGUAGCUUUCACUUAGUUGUUUGCCUGAUGUUCAACAUUAGGAAGGGACUGGGUAUUUUGGUUACAUUUUCAUCUUUCAUGUUUGGAGUUCGUAUAUCAUAAUGAGCAGUUUUCACUCUUGAAAGUAUAGUAUGUGCCACUGUAAGAGUCCCCAAGUUACUGAUGGACAACUGUGUUCCCUCAAUUCACCAAUCUGGUAUGCCUCUUAUACUGCUUCGCAGUGAGAGCAACCACUCCUGGUCUGCUCUCUCUUAGCCUCCAGUAUGUAAAUCACUCCCACCGAUAUUGUGUGAGUGCUAUAGCCAGCCACUCACGAAUUACACUAGAACAUGUGGGGAGAGAGAUGUUCACUUUGACUUCACUUAGCUUGUUAAGUUAGGAUUUAGUUUGUGUUUUACCUUUUAUUUCUUUGUAACCAAUUCUGAUUUUUAUGCCUCAUUACUUGUAAUCACUUAAAAUCUAUCUUUCCAUAGCUAAUAAACUCGUUUUAUUGUCUUAUCUUAAAUGAGCGUGUGCUUUGACAUUUUUGGGAAACUCCUUUUGAAAAACAAGGCUUUCUAUUAAUGAAAUGAUGGACUUUAUAUGAGCUUGUAUUGUCCAGGAGGAUGCUGUGCAAUAUAAGAUACAUUUCUGGGGAAAAGUCUGGGACUAGGAGUCUUCUGGUGUCACCUGCAAUAUAAUUCAUGAAUGGCUGGCUAUAGCACUCAUACAGUAUAGCUGGGAGUGAUCUGCAUGCUGGAGACUGUGAGAGAGCAGACCAGGAGUGGUUGCUCUCUGUGAAGCAGUGUAAGAGACAUCCCAGGUUGGUGAAUUGAAGGAGCAUAGCUGUCCAUCGGUCCAGAUUGUACACCAGUGAAUGUCAUAGCCACUUACUUGGGUCACCGUUUUAUUCAGAUGUCCCCGGGGAGCCAAAUUAGCCAAAUGAAUGUCAAUGUCACCUUAUUCAGGACAGCAUUAGUAAAAAUUCCACUCUUACCAGACCUACCUCUGAACCGUUGGCUGUGGAUGGUUCUGUGAUGCUCCAGAGCCAGUGCAAAGCAGUCAAAGUGUACUUGUUAUUCUCACCCUUAAUCUGCAAUUAAUUUACAGCGCUGUGUUACAGGAUAGGAUAGAGACACUGAAAGGAGGGUGGGGGUAAUAAGCCCACGUCUUGAGUUCCAAUAUGUCUGUGGUUUUAGGCUUCCCCAUAUGUUCUUAUCUCCAUUCCCCUGGCACUGCUGCCUCUGUGCCCAGUUUUCAGAGGGGUAGCCAUGUUAGUCUGUAUCAGCAAAAACAAUGAGGAUGCUGAUGAUGAAGUGGGGUUUAGCCCACGAAAGCUUAUGCCCAAAUAAAUGUGUUAGUCUCUGAGGUGCCACAGGGACUCCUCUGUGCCCAGUGGAGAUGAGGCAGCAUUGCCAGUGGGAGCCUUUCAAGAUCUGAUACCCAGAUCAAGUAUUAUCUUUAAAGAGCAAUGAGACUGGGCUAAAUGUACCUGUGAAAACUUUUGACAUAUGUGCCCACUCUGGCUUGUCCCACUGAUUCAUUACAACCUAUAAAAUUGUUGCAUGCUAAUAUGCUAUAGAGGACAGGUGGGGAGUUAGAACUUAAGUUACCUGAGCUGUUGCAACUUUCUUAUAGCUUAUAAUCAGAAAACAAUCAGAUACAAUGGUUAAUACCUUAGUUUAAUUACAAUCUAAUGUGAGUGUUGUGCAAUUUUUGUGCAAGACUUUUUCUGUUGUAAAUUGGAAUGAUAUAUCAGUGUGAUGAAGAUUGUUUGAGGAGUGGUUCGUUAUCCUUUUUUAUACGUAAGAUUCUUCUAGAAUGGACCACAAAGUGUCUAACUUUUCCUUAAUGGUAGCUUGUGCCAGUAUUAUGAAACCAUCUUGAUGUAACCCAUUAAAAAGAAAGCUUAAAAAACAGGCUGCUGCUAGCAAUAAAUGUCAAGAGAAUCGGUAUCUCGUC